GAUGAACGCUGGCGGCGUGCCUAAUACAUGCAAGUCGAGCGAACGGACGAGAAGCUUGCUUCUCUGAUGGUAGCGGCGGACGGGUGAGUAACACGUGGAUAACCUACCUAUAAGACUGGGAUAACUUCGGGAAACCGGAGCUAAUACCGGAUAAUAUUUUGAACCGCAUGGUUCAAAAGUGAAAGACGGUCUUGCUGUCACUUAUAGAUGGAUCCGCGCUGCAUUAGCUAGUUGGUAAGGUAACGGCUUACCAAGGCAACGAUGCAUAGCCGACCUGAGAGGGUGAUCGGCCACACUGGAACUGAGACACGGUCCAGACUCCAACGGGAGGCAGCAGUAGGGAAUCUUCCGCAAUGGGCGAAAGCCUGACGGAGCAACGCCGCGUGAGUGAUGAAGGUCUUCGGAUCGUAAAACUCUGUUAUUAGGGAAGAACAUAUGUGUAAGUAACUGUGCACAUCUUGACGGUACCUAAUCAGAAAGCCACAGCUAACUACGUGCCAGCAGCCGCGGUAAUACGUAGGUGGCAAGCGUUAUCCGGAAUUAUUGGGCGUAAAGCGCGCAUAGGCGGUUUUUUAGUCUGAUGUGAAAGCCCACGGCUCAACCGUGGAGGGUCAUUGGAAACUGGAAAACUUGAGUGCAGAAGAGGAAAGUGGAAUUCCAUGUGUAGCGGUGAAAUGCGCAGAGAUAUGGAGGAACACCAGUGGCGAAGGCGACUUUCUGGUCUGUAACUGACGCUGAUGUGCGAAAGCGUGGGGAUCAAACAGGAUUAGAUACCCUGGUAGUCCACGCCGUAAACGAUGAGUGCUAAGUGUUAGGGGGUUUCCGCCCCUUAGUGCUGCAGCUAACGCAUUAAGCACUCCGCCUGGGGAGUACGACCGCAAGGUUGAAACUCAAAGGAAUUGACGGGGACCCGCACAAGCGGUGGAGCAUGUGGUUUAAUUCGAAGCAACGCGAAGAACCUUACCAAAUCUUGACAUCCUUUGACAACUCUAGAGAUAGAGCCUUCCCCUUCGGGGGACAAAGUGACAGGUGGUGCAUGGUUGUCGUCAGCUCGUGUCGUGAGAUGUUGGGUUAAGUCCCGCAACGAGCGCAACCCUUAAGCUUAGUUGCCAUCAUUAAGUUGGGCACCCUAAGUUGACUGCCGGUGACAAACCGGAGGAAGGUGGGGAUGACGUCAAAUCAUCAUGCCCCUUAUGAUUUGGGCUACACACGUGCUACAAUGGACAAUACAAAGGGCAGCGAAACCGCGAGGUCAAGCAAAUCCCAUAAAGUUGUUCUCAGUUCGGAUUGUAGUCUGCAACUCGACUACAUGAAGCUGGAAUCGCUAGUAAUCGUAGAUCAGCAUGCUACGGUGAAUACGUUCCCGGGUCU
rnacentral:rRNA from 1 species